GUAAUAAAUCUGACUUAAAUUACAAGAGAAUGCUGGUAAAGUGCCUGAGGGACCGCACCUGGAUCCUAGUGUGCGCUGAGGAAAGGGUGAUGGGUGAUGACCAUUACAGCUUUGUGUCGCCACUUCAUCCUUGUUGCUAAUGCUUGCUGUGUGACUCCAUUAACGAAUGUAGGGCCUGAAGACCCCUGUUGGCUCAGCUUACAGAAAGCCAAAGAACUUUAAAAGUUCAAAGGACACUUACGCUGCAAACCAUGAUCCUUUUCCAAAAGGAAUUUCAAACAAAUGGCAUUUGAAACAGAUGAGACUGGCAACGCUUUCCUUUAUGUAACUCUUUCCCUGUCUGCUUCACAACUAAUUGUUCCAGCAGACAAGCUGCGAGCCUGAAGAAAACAGGAUAUAUUCUUGGAAGUAAUUACUGUACUAAAAUUGAAUGGGGAAAGGCCCCAGCUUUUGAAAACAAUCAGCU
ensembl:lncRNA